rnacentral:rRNA from 1 species
UGGGGAAUUUUGGACAAUGGGCGAAAGCCUGAUCCAGCAAUGCCGCGUGUGUGAAGAAGGCCUUCGGGUUGUAAAGCACUUUUGUCCGGAAAGAAAUCCUUGGCUCUAAUACAGUCGGGGGAUGACGGUACCGGAAGAAUAAGCACCGGCUAACUACGUGCCAGCAGCCGCGGUAAUACGUAGGGUGCAAGCGUUAAUCGGAAUUACUGGGCGUAAAGCGUGCGCAGGCGGUUUGCUAAGACCGAUGUGAAAUCCCCGGGCUCAACCUGGGAACUGCAUUGGUGACUGGCAGGCUAGAGUAUGGCAGAGGGGGGUAGAAUUCCACGUGUAGCAGUGAAAUGCGUAGAGAUGUGGAGGAAUACCGAUGGCGAAGGCAGCCCCCUGGGGCCAAUACUGACGCUCAUGCACGAAAGCGUGGGGAGCAAACAGGAUUAGAUACCCUGGUAGUCCACGCCCCUAAAACGAUGUCAACUAGUUGUUGGGGAUUCAUUUCCUUAGUAACGUAGCUAACGCGUGAAGUUGACCGCCUGGGGGAGUACGGUCGCAAGAUUAAAAACUUAAAGGAAUUGACGGGGUCAUAGCUGUUUCCU